AUACGUAGGUGGCAAGCGUUGUCCGGAAUUAUUGGGCGUAAAGCGCGCGCAGGCGGCCUUUUAAGUCUGAUGUGAAAGCCCACGGCUCAACCGUGGAGGGUCAUUGGAAACUGGAAGGCUUGAGUGCAGAAGAGAAGAGCGGAAUUCCACGUGUAGCGGUGAAAUGCGUAGAGAUGUGGAGGAACACCAGUGGCGAAGGCGGCUCUUUGGUCUGUAACUGACGCUGAGGCGCGAAAGCGUGGGGAGCGAACAGGA
rnacentral:rRNA from 1 species